CGCAUGCAUACGAACCUGCUUAUAAAAGUCGAGCAUCCCUCUAGGCUUUAUAAUACUCUGUACUUAGAACAACGUGUGCGAUCUUACAACAUGGCUGAUGUUUGUCCUAACGCGCCGAAAAAAGCUCACCCUUUUUUGGGAAGAAUAGAAAAAAUGUUAGAACAUGAAAAGAUUCAAUAUUGGGUAAUGUCAAACGGAUGUACAGCCGGGUUUUUUUUUCGAUGCAGAAAAAGGAACCGUUUUGCUUUUCAAGUUCUCGGUCCCGGAACACACGAUCUUUUCCUUUCACGUAGAAUAUGAAGCACUCCGAGUCAGGCCUAGGUCAAAAGGUCAACAACGUAAAACCCCCGUUCUGAUGCAUUCCCGAGCACAAACACACCCCACACACACACACACACACUCGAAUGCAUACGAACCUGUUUAUAAAGUCGAGCACUUCGAAAGUUUUAACAUCGGAAAAGGUUCGACCGAAUUUCCAGAGUCAGUUCUUCACUACUUCGAAAGUUUGAACAUCGGCAAAGUUCAACAGAAUUUCCAGACCCCAUGGAUUUCUCGGCAGGUAAAAAUUUGUAUUUUAAUCAAUUAAUAGUUAAAUAUAAAUUGAGAUACAAUGUUUAUGUAAUUAUCCAGUAGGCAAUGAUAUUGAUAUAAACUUAGAACUAAUCAUUCUGAGUACAAAAAUCAUCAUACUUAUCUGGUCAUUAUGUAAUCUGGUACGAUACUUUAUCUAAAUUGUAAAUAUUCAUUACAUUUAUAUUACAGUGCAAGACCGAGUUAAGCUCAUCUGUUUCUAGUGUAUAGACAGCUUGGUGAUUAUUUCUGAUGAUGAGAUUCCCGAAACAACCACUCAGGACCUUUUGAAUCUGAGUUCCACACAAUUUGAGGGAAACGUGUCUAACAGUGAUUACGACGGAGAUAUUUCAGGUGAGUUGUAGUAUAUUUACCUUCUAUUUACACAGCACAAAUAAAUAAAUAAAUAAAUAAAAUAAAUAAAAGCUUUUUCACAUGUUCUGUGACUUAUAGAUACGAGUGCUGCAAUAGAAGACCCAGAGGAAAUCAUCUCGGAAACCGACAUUCAACAAGACAUCGAACUACAACAGA